rnacentral:rRNA from 1 species
UACAGAGGUCCCAAGCGUUGUUCGGAUUCAUUGGGCGUAAAGGGCGCGUAGGCGGACCUGCAAGUCGGGGGGUGAAAGCCCGAGGCUCAACCUCGGAACUGCCUUCGAUACUGCGGGUCUCGAGUCCGGAAGAGGCGAGUGGAAUUCCCCGGUGUAGCGGUGAAAAUGCGCAGAUAUCGGGAGGAACACCAAUGGCGAAGGCAGCUCGCUGGGGACGUGACUGACGCUGAGGCGCG